ensembl:rRNA 5S_rRNA 5S ribosomal RNA
UUCUAUGGCCAUACCACUCUGAACAUUUCCAAUCUAGUCUGAUCUCAGAAGCUAAGCAGGGCCUGGCCUGGUCAGCACUUGAAUAGGAGACUGCCUGGAAACACCAGGUGCUGUAGGCU